rnacentral:rRNA from 1 species
UCCAGUAGAACUUUCCAGAGAUGGAUUGGUGCCUUCGGGAACUCUGAGACAGGUGCUGCAUGGCUGUCGUCAGCUCGUGUUGUGAAAUGUUGGGUUAAGUCCCGNAACGAGCGCAACCCUUAUCCUUUGUUGCCAGCGGUUAGGCCGGGAACUCAAAGGAAACUGCCAGUGAUAAACUGGAGGAAGGUGGGGAUGACGUCAAGUCAUCAUGGCCCUUACGAGUAGGGCUACACACGUGCUACAAUGGCGCAUACAAAGAGAAGCGACCUCGCGAGAGCAAGCGGACCUCAUAAAGUGCGUCGUAGUCCGGAUUGGAGUCUGCAACUCGACUCCAUGAAGUCGGAAUCGCUAGUAAUCGUGGAUCAGAAUGCCACGGUAAAUACGUUCCCGGGCCUUGUACACACCGCCCGUCACACCAUGGGAGUGGGUUGCAAAAGAAGUAGGUAGCUUAACCUUCGGGAGGGCGCUUACCACUUCGUGAUUCAUGACUGGGGUGAAGUCGUAACAAGGUAAGCGUAGUGCU